GCUCUUAUCGUCUAAUGGUUAGGACACUACUCUUUCAUAGUGGUAAUAGGGGUUCAAAUCUCGUUAAGAAUA
rnacentral:tRNA from 1 species